UCCUAAACAUGAUGUCCAGCACACUGAUAGGACGUGGGAGAUUCCUGUCCUUUCCACUCCUCAGUCUGCUCCAGCCCACCCACGUCGUACGUGGCCCUGGAUCCUUCAUGUUCAUGAAGUUCCCAGAAAUCCACAGCAGCAUGCCUGCCAAGCUCUCGGUGGGCAUCGUUCUCAAGGUCUUUGUUAUUGCGUGAGAGGCUGGGGCUGCCGCAUUGACUCAUUCUUUAUCAAAUCUGUGGAUGGGUCCCCGUGCUCUGAUGGGUGUAACCUGGAAUGAGCUAGAGGAAGCCCUGACUCCCUUAAGUUGUCUCUACCGUGGAACCAGGAGAAAAGCUGACAUGCUGCGCGCUUUCGUUUCCUCCUUUCCUUCUGGUCGCUGCAGCUUCCUUUACAACAUCUGGAUCUGUUUCCCAGGACCAGAAGACUAGCCAAUGGCAGCAGAGUUUGGCUCCUUCCCACCCUGCACUGCCAAGAGACUCCUGGGCUUCUCUCUAGAGUCAUCAUAUGAUAUCGUUUAGAUUGUCCUGAUAAGCGGAACCUUCUGGACAGAGGCUGGGGGCGAGGGAGGGCCAACUCAGGGAGAGGACUGCAGAGGAGGCAGGGGGUCCUGAGGGUCAAGUAUAGUAUCUAGAAUUCAAAUCCGCCCACUUUCUUCAGCUCCAGAACUCCACUGUGUGCCUCAUCUCCUCCUGUGUGGCUUGAGACCUUGAUGGAGACAAGGUGGGGCCGGUGCCCAGGCUUUACAAGGAAUCCCUGGAGACCUGUACACAUGGGCUCUGGCAGUGCCACGGCACAGGGGAUGGAGGGUCAUGUCAGGGCUCGAGGAUCUUCAGCCCUGUGCUCUGUCUCUUUGCUCUUAUGGCCCUGGGAGUCAGCUUUUCUGCUGGGGGAACUUCCAAGGACAUCUGCACAGGAAGGUGGACUCUGGAGCUUGCUUAGGGAUUCCAGGAACGUGGAUUUCCUUUUAAUUCAUAGAUAGAAGAAUCCAAGCCUUCUGGGAGUGAUUAUAAAGGUCACAAAUGCAAUGUAACUCAAUGUGAAAUUCAAGCCAGGGCUUCUAUGCCUGUCUGAGACCCAGGACAUUUCUGUGUUCCAUUCAUUCCUUCACUAAGGAUACCUCUCCCAUUCCCACCCCAGUCUGUACUGAGAGUCACAAGUCAUAGGGUUUAGUCACAGGGGACUGAGAGGAGGGAUAACUGUGAAAGACUGUGAGCCCCGGGCAAGUAUUCCCUUGGCAGAUAGACGAGGGAGGAGAACAAUGCGUGGUAGUGGCAGGACUUGAGCCACUGUGGUGGUCCUGGGCUAUUGACAUGAUCCCUCGUGGUGGCAAUGGGCUAUCUAUAUGAGGAGUCAUGGUGGCCCUGGGCUCUCAUAAAGCCUCCCCAGAGGCUCUACCCCACUCUUGUGAGUGAAGAAGGGCUAUCUUAAUUACUUUCCCCUGUUCUUUCCCAUUGCUUACAGUAAUUGUUACUAUAAAACUUAAAGAUUUAUUUAAUCAUGUGUAUAUAUAUGUGUGUAAGUAUAUGUGUAUGUAUGUAUGCAUUCAUGUAUGUAGUUGCACUUCCCUUGCUGUGAUAAGACACCAAGACCAAGGCAACUUGCAGAACAAAGGGUUUAUUUGGACUUGUGGUUCCAGAGGGAUAGGAGUGCCUGGAAGCAAGCUGUCCGUGGCUGCCAGAGCAGCAAGCUGAGGGAGGGCUCACAUCUUGAAUUGAAAACACUGAACAGAGAGAGCAAACUAGAAAUGGCAUGGGUCCUUAAACUCUAGAAGCCUGCCCCCAGUGAAUGCUUCUUCUAACAAGGCCACAUCUUCUAAAUCUCCCCAAAUAGUUCCACCAACUGGGGACCAUAUGCUCAAAUAGAUAAGACUAUGAGGAACAAUUUCAUUCAAACCACCACAAUUUGUGUUUUGGAGGUUAUGUGCACAGGGGUACAGCUGCCAAGGGAAGCCAGAGAGAGUACGGGAUCUCCAGAAGUUAGAGUUACAGGUAGUUGUAAGCCACCCAAUGUGGGUGUUGAGAAUUGAACUUGAGUCCUUGAAAGAGCAGACAACACUAAGCCACCUCUUCAGUUCCUUAUUACAUUUUUUUUCCCUUGCUUGAUGUAUACCUCAGCCUUGAGAUUGCCAGGUCUACAAUGGCAGGAAGCACACCAGUCCCAGCAGUGCCUGCCUACACAGUUCACUUAACUCAUACUUUAUUCCAAGCAGCCGAAGUGGGUGUCUCCUAAGGAACCCAGGCUACAGAGUCUCCUGUGCAACUCAGGCUGGCCUCCAGCUUGUCAUCCUCCCUACUUCUGAUUCUCAAGUGCUGGGGACACAGGUAUGUACCAUCACACCUGGUCAGAGAUCGUGGUGUGUGUGUCUAUCAAUCAAUCAUCUAUCAUAUCGCAUCGUAUCUAUCUAUCUAUCUAUCUAUCUAUCUAUCUAUCUAUCUAUCUAUCUAUCUAUCUAUCUAUCUACCUACCUAUCACCUAUCUAUAUCUGUCUGUCUAUCGUCUGUCUGUCUGUCUGUCUGUCUGUCUGUCUGUCUGUCAUUUAUCUAAUCUUGAUGAUCAGUUUGAAAAAUGAUAUAACCCAAAAUAGCAGACGGCUGUGGUAGUUAAUGCUGUCAACUUGACGAGAUCCUUCCAGAAUCAACUAUUUGAGGUUAUUUGGAUUACGUGAGCCUUUUCUAAGCAGGCUGUUUGGUGAUCUUGGUUAGGUUAAAUGAGGUGGAAGACUCCUCAAAGGGAGGGUAGCACCAUUUCUCCGCUUUGAGACCCGCACUUCAGGAAAUUGGGAAAGCUGUCUGGGUGUGGACAUUCAACUCUCUCUUCCUCCUGACUGGACAUAGUGACCAGUUUCCCCAAGCUUCCCCACUCAGGACUUUCCCACCAGGAGGGACUGUUUCCCCUCCAACUGUGAGCUGAAAUAAACCCUUUGUCUCUU
rnacentral:lncRNA from 1 species